rnacentral:rRNA from 1 species
GACGAACGCUGGCGGCGUGCUUAACACAUGCAAGUCGAACGGAAAGGCCCUGCUUGCCGGGUACUCGAGUGGCGAACGGGUGAGUAACACGUGGGUGAUCUGCCCUGCACUUCGGGAUAAGCCUGGGAAACUGGGUCUAAUACCGGAUAGGAGCCAUUUUUAGUGUGAUGGUUGGAAAGUUUUUUCGGUGUAGGAUGAGCUCGCGGCCUAUCAGCUUGUUGGUGGGGUAAUGGCCUACCAAGGCGGCGACGGGUAGCCGGCCUGAGAGGGUGGACGGCCACAUUGGGACUGAGAUACGGCCCAGACUCCUACGGGAGGCAGCAGUGGGGAAUAUUGCACAAUGGGCGCAAGCCUGAUGCAGCGACGCCGCGGGGGGGAUGACGGCCUUCGGGUUGUAAACUCCUUUCGCUAGGGACGAAGCUUUUUGUGACGGUACCUAAAUAAGAAGCACCGGCUAACUACGUG